ACACUCCUACGGGAGGCAGCAGUGGGGAAUAUUGCACAAUGGGCGCAAGCCUGAUGCAGCCAUGCCGCGUGUAUGAAGAAGGCCUUCGGGUUGUAAAGUACUUUCAGCGGGGAGGAAGGCGAUAAGGUUAAUAACCUUGUCGAUUGACGUUACCCGCAGAAGAAGCACCGGCUAACUCCGUGCCAGCAGCCGCGGUAAUACGGAGGGUGCAAGCGUUAAUCGGAAUUACUGGGCGUAAAGCGCACGCAGGCGGUCUGUCAAGUCGGAUGUGAAAUCCCCGGGCUCAACCUGGGAACUGCAUUCGAAACUGGCAGGCUAGAGUCUUGUAGAGGGGGGUAGAAUUCCAGGUGUAGCGGUGAAAUGCGUAGAGAUCUGGAGGAAUACCGGUGGCGAAGGCGGCCCCCUGGACAAAGACUGACGCUCAGGUGCGAAAGCGUGGGGAGCAAACAGGAUUAGAAACCCUUGUAGUCCCA
rnacentral:rRNA from 1 species